CAAAUACAUAUUGUAAAUAUAAAUAUGCGAUAUGAGAAACAAUUUUGGACCAAUGAGAGAAAAGGUAACGAACGUUUUGACACAUGUGGGCUUUACAAGAAAAUAAAAGAAAUGAACAUAAAGAAAUGACAAGUAAGGUAAACGUUUAUGAGAUAACAAGGCAUUGAUAUGAAACCCCAGAGUAAAAACAUCUUGACCAAGAAAGUCAGUGUUCAGAACAAAGUCAACAGUAGUAUACCGCUGUUCGAAAGACAUUAAUCGAUUGAGACAAAAACAACCCGGGUUACAAAUUAAAUCGAGGGAAACACAUCAACUGAAAGACAGGCCUUAGAAGUAAAUAUCAAAGUUUGAUUAAGUUGUGACUUGAGAAAAAAAUAGUGUUCUUUCUGAUCCGAUAUAUUUGUCUUUGUAAGCAUACACACAUGUUAAAUAAUGCUCUAAUCUAUGCAUUCAACGAUUCAACGAGAAAACGUAGCAUUAAGUGUUCAUUCCGAAACGAGUCAGGUUUUUUUUAGUAUCUUUGAUCUCGAGCUACGAUUUAUACCAACCAUAAACCUAUCUUUUGCUUUAAUUAGUUUUAAACAUUGAUAAAAACGAUAUAUUGAAAUAGUGCUUAAAGUAUUAUAGAUACAAUGAAUACGCGUUGACUGUUGAAAAAGAAACCAUGAGUCUGAAUGGUCAUGGCGAACUUUUGUAUUUAAUGAAUUAACGCUGAUACGUUGCAUCUCUUUCUUAAACUAUUUUGUUAAUGAUUUGUUGAAUUUAAGGAUGUACUCCUCUGAGGAGCGAAAAAAUUCGAGAAUUAAACUUUUUUUCUUGACCUGAUUAUUGGGUUUAUAUGACUCAUCAUUUGGUGGUGCACUUCUUUUUUUGUUACGGCCCUUUGAAAGUACCCAAUUUUGAUGAGUUUCCCAUUUUUCAUCAACUUUUACACAUUUCGGGGCUUUUAUCAUGAAAAAAAAAUCACAGUUCCACAAGUAAACUUUUGUUCAUACUUUCAAUAAAGAUGAAGUGGAACACUCUGAAUAAAUGUAACUUAAAAAAUAAACUAUAGGUAGGUGUUAAUAUAGGAAAGUUUUAUCAUAUUUUAAUGCUUUUUCGGGUCAAAUUUACCAUGCUGAUAUUUUUGUCAAUUUGUGGUCUUUCUCCUUUUUAGGAACAAAUUGCAUAUUUUUUAAACUUCUUUGUUAUAAAUGAUUGAAAAAAAUACAUAUCUAAGGAAAUUUGAAAAGACAAAAUUGAUAUGGGAUGUACACAUUGCUGGUAAAAUUAUUUCUUGUACCUUUCACCCAUUAUCUUCUAAAAAGAAUCACUUGAUUGGCAAUAAAAUUUGAAAAAAUUAUUACUCAAAAACUACAAUUUUUUCACAGGGUUAAGUUUGAUUAUGACAUCUUUAAAAUUCAUUGAUAUUUUCCAUUUGUAUCAUAUGUUUUGGAAAAAAUUCCAGAAUGAUAUUUCAACGAGACUGAACGUCAGAAGAAUACAUCCUUAAAGCCUUUUCUGAAUAAGAAAGUAUUGUAAGUGAGUUUUAAUAACCAUGUCAUCAUGUUCAACAAUGCAUUAGUGAAUACAUGUAUAAGUUCACAAUUGAUUUGUUAGAGAAAUGCAAAUAUUACAUACCACGUUUUCGUUAAAUUAUCAGGCACCAGAAUAUUAUCUUUAAAUUAUAAAAUUAGACAUCUUCAAACUUAUGUUUUUAAAGUACAUGUGCAAGCGGCUGUAUUCUAGUCGCAUCACGAUUUACUCGAAUAGGCAUUUGCGAAUAAACAGUUGUAAAGAUAUGAAGUAAAACAGAUGAAAUCAUACUAUAUUUAUAAAACAAAAAAGGACAAAUUGAAUGUAAAAGUUUUCUUUCAAAUAUGUGAAAUAAUCAUAAUAAACCAGGAAUUAGUAGGUAAACCUAUGGAACGCCACAGCUGUCUUAUGUGGAGCUCUGAUAUUACGAAGUGUUGUUUUGUUAUUAUUUGAUGACAUUUUGUCUUUAAAUAAUAUGGUUUAGUCAUUACGUAUUGAUGUUUUAAUAUAACUCAAUAUGGAAUAGUCAUUAUUUAAUGAUAUUUCGAUAUAACACGAUAUGGUUUCGUAUUGACUUGAUAUAAUUUUGUCAUUACUUGAUAUGGUAUUGUCAUUACUCGAUGUGGUUUCAUCAUUAUUUAAUGUGGUUGUUUAAUUAGUAUGUGACUUAACGUAAUUUAGUUGUUUCAUUACAUGAUGUAGUUGUGCUAUUUCGUAAUGCUUAAACAUAAAUGAUGUUUAAUUCAAAUAUGAUGUAAUGGUAUAGAAAAACCUUGUAGCUGAGUAACUAUUGACAAAAACAUGCUACAUUUGAAAAAAAUGACUGAAAAGAUUUUACCUAUUUCUGCCGUCGCCAUAAUGGAAUCGUCGUAAUUCCAGUUACGGUUAUCAGUUUAGCACCAGUGGUAUUUAAACAUUCCAAAUAAAUAGCAGUUUGAUAAUGAUUAAAAAACAAUAUUAAAAUUUGACUAAGGUUGAAAAGGUGAACGUAACUGCGUACUUUUACAUCCCUCUCAACUGAAUAGAACCCUGGUUUAAUUGAAAAAAUCCUUAAAACUGUAAAAGGUCAGUACAGAACAGAAGUCUGGGUUACUGGAAAGAGUAUACAUAUAUAAAGAGUAAAAUCACAAAAAUACUGAACUCCGAGGAAAAUUCAAAACGGAAAGUCCCUAAUCAAAUGGCAAAAUCAAAUGAUAAAACUCAUCAAACAAAUGGACAAAUUACACAUCUAAAUUGCGAUCUAUUUGUAACCGAGAGGUUUCGUCUAUGUGAGUUAAAGUUUGGUUUUUGAAUAAAUUUCAUUAGUAAACAGAAAAUCUGUAAAUUAGCCAAUUGAAACUUAACUAGUAAGGCAGAAAAAGGAAACAAUUGAAUAUAAUUUGGUGAACUCAUUUUAGAGACAGAUUUAGAAAGCGUUUAUUUUACAAAAAUAAUUAUAGGUUGGACAAUACUUGAUCACGUUUUUAUCAAUAUUUAAAGCGCAAGGCGUAGAAAGGGGUAUGUAAUACACUUCGUUGGUGCAGUUUAGCGUUCACUUUCACAACUAAUCUACAGUGAAAAGUCUUUCAAGUAUAGCAUUUUAUAGUACUAUGAAAAAUAGAAGGCAAAAUACCGAUUUUCCAUUGAAUGAGAAUGAGUAUAUUCUUAUCUGUAAAUGAAUAGACUGACGUCACAGUAAUGGUUUCAUAUUAAUAAUAUGUUUUAGUUCAAUAUUCUCAAAAAAAAGGUUUCAAAAUAAUGCUUAAAUUUUAUAUGCUUGCAAGUCAAAAAUCAAAACUCAUUUUUAUCCGUAUUUAUGCGACUUUUGUUGGAGAUGAAUGGUAUAUGUGUUCAGCAUGUCGAGUGACUGGAACGAAUGUCAGUGAAACUAGGAAAUGCAACCUCAAAGAGAUUGAUUUUGUCAAUGAAAUUGACCUGCAAAAACAUCAAACAUAUACAGGUUACCAGUAAAUGUUUUACAUUUAAUCUAUAUGUUUUCAUGUAUGAAAAUAUUUCAAACAGAACUUGAAAAUUGAUCAUUUAUACAGUUACACUUGCUGACCUGUUAUCUGUAUUUCACAUUUACAUGUCCGCCCAUAUGACGGCUAGAAAGAAAUGCAAUAGUAAUGUUAUAAACUUUAGAUUCCAGACAAUAUGUUUUGUUUUCUAAUGAAUUUGAUGUUAAGUACAUAAUGCCACUUUAAGUUAUUUGUGAAAAUUCAAAAAUUGGCCUAAUACAACUAAAUCAAAAUAUGUUAAAAGGUAAACUAAAUUAUUGGCAUUUUGAAAAUAUAUCAACAAAUCUUGUUUGAAUUUUCUGGUGUAUCAAAUGAGAAUAAAAACAAUUACAGAGUGUGGUGAAUCUAGGAUUUAGAAUUGGGGAAAAAAAGUGGCAGAAAAUGCCAAGAAAAACAAAUCAUAAAUUAAGUGAAGCUGACAACCUCUUGACAAAAAAAAAGAAAGACAACGAAACGAAACGAAAAUAAGUUCACAUAAUACUAAAAAGAAAAUGUAUGCAGCACGAACCCUAUAAAACUAAAUGUGAUCUUAGCUGCUCCGGAAUUGUAAGCAGAUCCACUUCUUCACUUGAAACCCUUCUUCCGUGUAGACAGGAGGCCUUUAUAAAUAAAAUCGUGGUAGCAAAUGUAGAUAAAUAAUCAAAUAUAUAGAUAUGAUCAUAAAUGCAAAACGUGUUUUGUAGACAAAGCCUUUGAUACAGAAGCUGUUAUAUUUAGCUCUAUGUGAGUAUUAUCCAUGUUAUUAAAACAAACAACAUCAGGAAACAUGUGAACAAGUUUCAUAGACACUAUUAAAUCCAUGCUAAACAUAUUUUGUUAUGACAAUGAUUACUAUUUUCUUCAUUAUGUAUUUCAACACAUAUGUUUAGGUGAUCAUAUAUAAGCUUUACGUUUGUGGAAGUAGGAGGUAUGAUAGCUGUUGAAUUAUCAAAGUAAUAACUAAUCCAAGAAUUCAAACAACGACGUCAUAUUCACGAUUCAGGGUCAUUUUCACCGCCUGCGCCUGUAAUUCAUAAACAAACAGCAUAUACAAAGUAUAGGCACAAUAUAAAUCAAACACUCUAGAAGGAUAUCUUUUUCGAUAAUUAAUUUCUUUGAUUCGUAUUUUUUUUUUUAUAAUCUAAAAAUUAGAAGAUAUUGUAUGAUUACAAGUAAGACAACAGAACUAAUGGCGUCGAAGUUUACAACUAUAGGUCUACGUACGGACUUUAACAAUGAGCAUAAUCUUCACCUCAUAUAAAAAAGAAGAUGUGAUAUGAUUGCCAAUGAGACACAAGUCUCAACAAGACACCAAAUGACAUAGAAAUUACCAACUGUAGGUCACCGUACAUCCUUCAACAAUGAGCAAAGUCCAAACCGCAUAGUCAGCUAUAAAAAGCCCCGAAAUGAACUAUGAAAUGCCUAAAAAUGACAUGUGCCCUUACAAUAGUAGAAAAUUUCUUUGAAACCAAUUUUGAAUUGUUUUUAUGCUACAUCAUAUGAAUGAAAUUCACAUGUGAAAUUAUUUGUUUAUAUCUGUUUUGAAAAUCACGGUAUAUAACUGCAACGAAUGCAGUGACGCAUUUUUAUUUUGAGUUCCUCGGGACAGUACAUACAUUGUUUUUGAGUACAUUGAAUGCAACCUUGUCUCCUAUGUGUUUAUACUAUUUUCGUCGUUUUCUAUCGACAAUAGAUAUUGGGCGUUUCAAAGACUGCGAUUCUAUCGUAAAAAUGAAAAUAGUGGUGUUUUCUUUUGUAUGAAUAGUAUGUUUGUAUGCAUUGAUAUUUGCCUUAACGUUGUAUUCUCUGAUUGUUGUUAUACAUUUAAGGUAUCCUGUUACUAUUUCCCGUUUACGUUCUUGUCAGACAACUGUUUGAAAGAUCCACGGUAACAAAUUUACCAGUACCUUUCUACAGGAGAGAAAAGUCACCAACACAUGUUGAUAGAGUAAAUAGGAAAAAGAAAGGGUCGAUAUGUCCUAUUUUACAAGGCGGUCUCGGAAAUAGAUUGUUUCAAUUUUCUACUUCGUUUGCUGCUGCAAGAAAUAAACAAAUGGAGCUUAUCGUACCUCCCGAUGCUGAAAUCCGAACAGUGUUUGCAAUUAAUGUGACAUCCGAUAAACCAAUAAGAUUAUGUAAGGGGUUUCGAAAAGUUUUAGAUAACGCAUCUCCGACAUACAACAAAAAUUUACUAAAUUUUAGUUCUGAAGAUAACAUUCAACUAGGAUAUGGACUUCAGUCGUGGAAAUAUUUUCACAAGUAUGAUACGGAGCUACGGAGGCAAUUAACAUUUCAAAAGCAUAUUCAAAACACUGCAGAACAGACGAUUGGGAAAAUAUUCCAAAAAAGAAAAAUUAAGUCUCGGAAGAGUAUUACUUUGGUAGGUGUUCAUAUAAGGAGAGGUGAUAAGGUAGGAAACCAUGAUGGAUUUAACAUUGCUACACCUGAGUAUUUAAACAGAUCUGUGAAUUAUUACGCUAAAAUGUAUACAAGUGUUUUAUUUUUAGUUAUAUCAGAUGAUAUAGCUUGGUCUAAAACAAAUAUGCCAACUCAUGUUCCUGUAGAUUUUAUAUCCUUAGGCAAGCGAGAAUUUGAUAUGGCAACUGUCGUUGCUUGUGACCAUACAAUCAUGACAAUAGGAACAUUUGGCUGGUGGAUCGGUUACUUGACUGGUGGUGAAGUGGUGUACGUAAAAGAUGCUGCAAAAAAGGGUUCACGAUUUGAACGCAUACUUAAUUUUGAAGACCAUUUCUAUCCACAAUGGGUAGGACUUUAAGCAAUUAAAUUUUGACAAAUUUUGUUUUAAUGUUUUAUUUAUUUUAAGCAAACAUAUUAAACAUGAAUCAUCUUUCACCUUUGACGUCUUAUAAUUAGUCUUGUAGAAAAUUUACUCCAAGAAGAAAAAAGACAUGAACAAAAGUGCAGUAAAAAGUUAUUUUUGCGAAAAUUAUCAGUAACUACAUAAUAAACAUUUGGAAAUAAGCUGUGUCUCCUGUC
rnacentral:lncRNA from 1 species